rnacentral:rRNA from 1 species
CCUACGGGAGGCAGCAGUGGGGGAUAUUGGACAAUGGGGGAAACCCUGAUCCAGCGACGCCGCGUGAGUGAAGAAGUAUUUCGGUAUGUAAAGCUCUGUCAGCAGGGAAGAAAGAAAUGACGGUACCUGAAGAAAAAGCAUCGGCUAACUCCGUGCCAGCAGCCGCGGUAAUACGGGGGAUGCGAGCGUUAUCCGGAUUUAUUGGGUUUAAAGGGUGCGUAGGCGGAAUAUCAAGUCAGCGGUAAAAAUUCGGGGCUAAACUCCGUCGUGCCGUUGAAACUGAUGUUCUUGAGUGGGCGUGCAGUAGGCGGAAUGCGUGGUGUAGCGGUGAAAUGCAUAGAGAUCACGCAGAACUCCGAUUGCGAAGGCAGCAUACCGGCGCCCAACUGACGCUGAAGCACGAAAGCGUGGGUAGCGAACAGGAUUAGAUACCCUUGUAGUC